AGUCGAGCGGUAACAGAAAGUAGCUUGCUACUUUGCUGACGAGCGGCGGACGGGUGAGUAAUGCUUGGGAACAUGCCUUGAGGUGGGGGACAACAGUUGGAAACGACUGCUAAUACCGCAUAAUGUCUACGGACCAAAGGGGGCUUCGGCUCUCGCCUUUAGAUUGGCCCAAGUGGGAUUAGCUAGUUGGUGAGGUAAUGGCUCACCAAGGCGACGAUCCCUAGCUGGUUUGAGAGGAUGAUCAGCCACACUGGGACUGAGACACGGCCCAGACUCCUACGGGAGGCAGCAGUGGGGAAUAUUGCACAAUGGGCGCAAGCCUGAUGCAGCCAUGCCGCGUGUGUGAAGAAGGCCUUUGGGUUGUAAAGCACUUUCAGUCAGGAGGAAAGGUUAACGGUUAAUACCCGUUAGCUGUGACGUUACUGACAGAAGAAGCACCGGCUAACUCCGUGCCAGCAGCCGCGGUAA
rnacentral:rRNA from 1 species